UACGUAGGGUGCGAGCGUUGUCCGGAAUUACUGGGCGUAAAGAGCUCGUAGGUGGUUUGUCGCGUUGUUCGUGAAAACUCACAGCUCAACUGUGGGCGUGCGGGCGAUACGGGCAGACUGGAGUACUGCAGGGGAGACUGGAAUUCAUGGUGUAGCAGUGAAAUGCGUAGAGAUCAUGAGGAAGACCAGUGGCGAAGGCGGGUCUCUGGACAGUUCCUGACACUGAGACACGAAGGCCAGGGGAGCAAACGGG
rnacentral:rRNA from 1 species